GUUUAAAGCACACUUUGUGCCUUUCCCCAGUGACCCAGGGAGCGGUUAAAAAAAGGGUGCAGGAAAGACAUGGCUUCAGCGGGUGACUUCACAGCAUGUUGUUCAGCUUCUAUCCAUGAUGUAACAGGG
rnacentral:snoRNA from 1 species